rnacentral:rRNA from 1 species
CACUCCUACGGGAGGCAGCAGUGGGGAAUAUUGGACAAUGGGCGCAAGCCUGAUCCAGCCAUGCCGCGUGAGUGAUGAAGGCCCUAGGGUUGUAAAGCUCUUUCACCGGUGAAGAUAUUGACGGUAACCGGAGAAGAAGCCCCGGCUAACUUCGUGCCAGCAGCCGCGGUAAUACGAAGGGGGCUAGCGUUGUUCGGAUUUACUGGGCGUAAAGCGCACGUAGGCGGACUAUUAAGUCAGGGGUGAAAUCCCGGGGCUCAACCCCGGAACUGCCUUUGAUACUGGUAGUCUUGAGUUCGAGAGAGGUGAGUGGAAUUCCGAGUGUAGAGGUGAAAUUCGUAGAUAUUCGGAGGAACACCAGUGGCGAAGGCGGCUCACUGGCUCGAUACUGACGCUGAGGUGCGAAAGCGUGGGGAGCAAACAGGAUUAGAAACCCCUGUAGUCCCAUG